rfam:Vitrella brassicaformis CCMP3155 genome assembly, contig: scaffold380
GCCGAGAUAGCUCAGUUGGUAGAGCAGUGGAUUGAAGAUCCUCGAGUCACCAGUUCAAGUCUGGUUCUCGGCA